AUUCCUAGAAGCAGCUUAGCCUGCCUCACCUGGAGCACCUGGAUCACCACCACACAGGCUUUGUGGGAUCGGAGUCCCUUGAAUUCACACAUGCUGUCCCAGUAUUGGUUUUCCAGACUGUCAGCAAUGCUUCUUAAAGGCAGGGGAUUCUCUGUUCCUGAGAAAACAGUUCCUGGGCAAGCAAGGGCAGAUAGAAAGCAGCAACAAGACCUGUGUCGACGGCCCUUGACCGCCUCUGUUUUAGGACGGAGGUUGUUGCCUAAAAUUGGGAGCAACUGGGAGCGUGAAGUGAUCAUUUCAUUGCCAUUCCUGUUCAUGAACAAGUAGAGGCCCAGGC
ensembl:antisense Gm11657 predicted gene 11657